CGUCAAAAUGUAAAUUACUUCUUCCGGCGCCAAAUAUUUAUUUAUUAAAUAAGAGGAGACUCCAAUGGCAAUCUAAAAAUAGCCUCUGCAGUUCCCUUAGCCUUGGCAUUUUUUUGGUGACCAUCCAUCUCGUCGAUUCAACGACACGCAUCCAUUAAAAAUUAAUUCCGAAAUGCCACAAAGGCAAAAGAAAGACGACCAACAAAUUGCCCGUCGUGGAACCGCAAGGGGAAAUCUGACCAGGCCUUCAAUUCUAACCUUGGAGCUUGAAUAAGAUGCGGUAGGAUGAUGCCAUGUUGCAACUUACACGUAAAUAUUUGGAUUUGGUUUACUGGAUGUGUUGGUUGGCAAGUUCACAAAGUCCAGAGGAAAUACCAGCAGAUGAAGCAAGUGAGAUUCUCGGAAACUGAGUCUAAAUAUGGUGUGAGGUUCCAUUAUGGUGAAUCACUUAGAUUCAUUGAUUAUUAUUUACGUUUUUACUUAAAAAAUGUUUUGAAGCAAUUAUAGAAUGGCGGCUUAAUUAAAUCGUUGGAAAGUUGCCUGUUAUCUGAUGAAUAUUCUCUUCUUACCGAAUAGGAGAUGUUCAAAAAACUUGUCUUUCUUUAUCUUGGUGUGACAUUCUAGAAGGUUAAUUUGUUUGUAUCAUAAAUUGUUUAUCUACAUACAAAAUUUCCCCAUAAAUACAACAAAUUAAAGUAAAUGUAAAGAGAAA